rnacentral:rRNA from 1 species
AUACGGAGGAUGCGAGCGUUAUCCGGAUUUAUUGGGUUUAAAGGGAGCGUAGGCGGGAGCUUAAGUCAGCGGUUAAAUGGUGCGGCUCAACCGUGCCCUGCCGUUGAAACUGGGUUUCUUGAGAGUGCAAGAGGCGGAUGGAAUUCAUGGUGUAGCGGGGAAAUGCUUAGAUAUCAUGAAGAACUCCGAAUGCGAAGGCAGUCCGCUAGAGCACGUCUGACGCUGAUGCUCGAAGGUGCGGGAAUCAAACAGGAUUAGAUACCCUGGUAGUCCGCACGGUAAACGAUGAUUACCCGCUGUCGGCGGUAGACAGUCGGCGGCCAAGCGAAAGCGAUAAGUAAUCCACCUGGGGAGUACGCCGGCAACGGUGAAACUCAAAUGAAUUGGCGGGG